UCCCCUGUUUCCUCUAUAUGCUCUGCGUCAUCAAAUAAAAUGGUCUAUAGCUCGUGUUUAGAUUAAUCUAUUAAAUUUCCUACUAAGCUAAGCUAUUAGCUUAUUUAUUUUCCUUAAUGCCAGGUUUGCGGAUUGUGUAGAUGCUUAUACAUAAUCCAUCCCAGAGAGCAAUCAUGGAAUAAGCAAUAGUGCAAGUAAUUUAUCCUUUAAAAAAAAGUAUGUGUCCCAAUUCUUGGGCAGUUGAGCUCUGCAACACUCAAAAGAGAUUGGAUUGCCUGGAAGAUAGAAGACACAAAACCAUAUGUGCCAUGAAAGCUCCACUUGUUCUUGAUGCAGAGGAUAAGCAAACACAAAAGUUCAAGUUAGAGAUUGGCUUGAGAAGCUUCAGGAUGUCAUAUAACUUGUUGGAAGAGUUUCACACUUAAGCUUUCUGGCAUAGAUGGUGUAAAGUAGGAAAUUGGAAGGACCGCCACAGAGAACAACGUAGCAUGACUGAGAAGCAGGUUAUAAAGGUUGGACUAAGCUGUUGACAAAGUUAAUCGAAAUGAUUAGCCAUGGUGUGCUAUUUUGAGUUCACAGUUUUGUUGUCCUUGAAUCCCAUUAUAACAUUUUAAUAGAUAGAUUAGGCAUUUACACAAGUAUAUAGUUAAUCAUGCUUUCCUUUCAUGCUAUCUCUGGACUGUUAUACAAGAUGUUUUUCUAUUUUUAUGAUGCAAAUAUUAAUAUUAUAUAUAUAUAUAUAUAUAUUCAAUAUAUGACUAACAUCUGUUCUUGAAUUGUCUUAUUCGACUGGAUUAAUGUUUGGAGGUGGACUAGCUGACUUUGAAGUGGGCUACUUGAAGAUUCAGCUGCUGAUUACAGUACUGUAAGGUUUACCUUUAGCAAAAAAUGUCAGGACAGAAGGUGAAUAUUCCAAAAGUUUUGGCAUUUAGUACUAAAACAUGUUUCUUCAACUCUUGCCUUGUCCAGAGAAAUAUCAAGCAGCAGGCAUAUCUUUCCUUCUAUUCUUUUUAUCCUUGUCUAGAGAACCAUCAAGCAGCAGGCAUAUUUUUCCUUCAUUCUUUUUAUAUUAAGAAAAUCAUUUCCUUUUACUUUAGAAUAUUCCAAAAUUUAUUGUUUUCAAAAGUACACAUAUACUUUUAACUUUUAUUUAUUUAUUUAUUUUUUUUUUAGCCCUUUGGUAUUUUAAAAUCUUUGAGUUUUUCUAGUUAGAUCGACAACUUGGAGAAUGAAAUAUACAUGUUCGCUAGAACAUGUUCCAAGAAUGAUAAUAGAUUUCUCUCUUUCAUGCAAAGAUGUCAUGUUUCUACAGGAACUUUAUAUACAUAAAUCUCUUUUGGAAACUAAAUCAAUUUGCAUCUCUUACUUUUAUUUCAAUCUCCAUUGAUAACUGUUUUAUCAAAAAAAAAAAAAAAAAAAAAUCUCCAUUCUUAACUGUCUACUCUUUCUUGGAUUCCAUUAUAUCAUCAUCAAGUUUCCUGUGUUAGCUUCAAAUAUUAAAGUAUUGACUGCUUUCAAUGUGACCAUAAAUUUGUAGUGCUUUGUGCCAUUCUGGCUUCACUCCUUCCAUUACUAAAGUGUGUAUGUUCUCUAUUUGUUUGUUUGUGUGUUCCGUUGUAUUUCUCUGUUUAUACAAUUAAAAGUGAUGUGAAUUCUUUCGUCAUGUUGGCAGACUUGUGUUCUUAAGUUCAGUCAUCAAACAAUGCCAUUCAACCAAAAGGGUAAAAACAGAACCUUAAGAGAAGCCAUGCUUUUGAAGCUGACUCAGCAAGAUUCUGUUUUAUCAAUUAGAGGGCUUGGCUGCGUUUAAAGGUAUGCUGCACCAGAAGCUUUUAUUUCUCGAUCAGUCACCAUUGGUCUUCUUAGUUUUCUUUUCUCUAAGUACCGUUUAGGAAUAUUGCGGCUGAGUGCUUUGUAAGAAAGAGGGGUGUAGAAGGGUUUAGGUUUGGUCUAAGGGCUUAGGGAAAUCUUUACCAUGGGAAAGAGUAUUUCAUCGUGCUAAGAGCUUCUUGGAUUGAGUUUACCAAGGAUGCAGGUCAAUUAUGGACUGAACCUCUUAAAUUUAUGUGUUGAUUCUUUCCUUAAUUUCAUUGAAGCAGAUUAGUAUUGAAUUUUCAAUAGAUAGUUCUAAGGAACUACAGUUUCAGGCCAGCUCACUCCAUCAGUUCCCACAUUAGCUGCUUCCACCCAAUGAACUUCACUUCUUCGGUCCUGCGUUAUAUAAGUUGAUGCGAAUUGUCAGUUAUUACGGUUAGAAGAAGUUUCUACGUCCAGUUCAGUUUUUGUAUUACAGUUAUAAAAACUCAGGACCGGAAAAUAGUCAUGCUCCAUGAAACUCUCUCUCUCUCUAUCUAUAUAUAUAUAUAUAUACAUACAGUUUUUUUCCAGAUUAUAUGAAUACUAAGCGUUGUUAUA